rfam:Knoellia aerolata DSM 18566 contig6, whole genome shotgun sequence.
GCUCAAGUUUUUAAGGGCGCACGGUGGAUGCCUUGGCACCAGGAACCGAAGAAGGACGUAGGAAUCUGCGAUAAGCCACGGGGAGUCGAUAACCAGACUAUGAUCCGUGGAUUUCCGAAUGGGGAAACCCGGCUGGAGGCAAGUCCAGUCACUCCUGCCUGAAUAUAUAGGGCAGGUAGAGGGAACGUGGGGAAGUGAAACAUCUCAGUACCCACAGGAAGAGAAAGCAACCGCGAUUCCGUGAGUAUUGGCGAGAGAAAGCGGAUGAGGCUAAACCGAUCAUGUGUGAUAGCUGUCAGGCGUUGCAUGGUCGGGGUCGUGGGACCUCUCAGUCAGGACUGACAUCCUGGCAUGGAGUCAAAAAUUCGCGUUAUAGUCGAAGGGCAUUGAAAGGCCCGGCACAGAGGGUGCGACCCCCGUAGACGAAAUGACGCGAACUCCAGAGAGUCAUCCCAAGUAAUACGGGGCCCGAGAAAUCCCGUAUGAAUCUGGCGGGACCACCCGCUAAGCCUAAAUAUUCCCUGGUGACCGAUAGCGGACAAGUACCGUGAGGGAAAGGUGAAAAGUACCCCGGGAGGGGAGUGAAAUAGAUCCUGAAACCGUGUGCCUACAAUCCGUUGGAGCCUCCUUGUGGGGUGACAGCGUGCCUUUUGAAGAAUGAGCCUGCGAGUUAGUGCUCAGUGGCGAGGUUAACCCGUGUGGGGAAGCCGUAGCGAAAGCGAGUCCGAAUAGGGCGAAUGAGUCGCUGGGUCUAGACCCGAAGCGGAGUGAUCUACCCAUGGCCAGGUUGAAGCGACGGUAAGACGUCGUGGAGGACCGAACCCACUUAGGUUGAAAACUGAGGGGAUGAGCUGUGGGUAGGGGUGAAAGGCCAAUCAAACUCCGUGAUAGCUGGUUCUCCCCGAAAUGCAUUUAGGUGCAGCGUCACGUGUUUCUUACCGGAGGUAGAGCUACUGGAUAGCUAAUGGGCCUCACCAGGUUACUGACGUUAGCCAAACUCCGAAUGCCGGUAAGUGAGAGCGUGGCAGUGAGACUGCGGGGGAUAAGCUCCGUAGUCGAGAGGGAAACAGCCCAGACCACCAUCUAAGGUCCCAAAGCGUGUGCUAAGUGGAAAAGGAUGUGGAGUUGCAGUGACAACCAGGAGGUUGGCUUAGAAGCAGCCACCCUUUAAAGAGUGCGUAAUAGCUCACUGGUCAAGUGAUUCCGCGCCGACAAUGUAGCGGGGCUCAAGCACACCACCGAAGCUGUGGCAUUGACACUUUGCCCGGUUGUGAUACCUGCGGGUUCACGAUCCAAGCGUGUUGAUGGGUAGGGGAGCGUCGUGUGGCCAGGGAAGCGGCGGAGUGAUCCAGCCGUGGAGGCCACACGAGUGAGAAUGCAGGCAUGAGUAGCGAAUGACGGGCGAGAAACCCGUCCGCCGAAUAACCAAGGGUUCCAGGGUCAAGCUAAUCUGCCCUGGGUAAGUCGGGACCUAAGGCGAGGCCGACAGGCGUAGUCGAUGGACAUCCGGUUGAUAUUCCGGAACCGGCGAAGAACCGCCCAUGACGAACCUUUUGAUGCUAAGUGCCUGAAACUCGAUGACGUCUUCGGACAGAUUCGAGCGGAGCGCACGACCCGAUUUGGUAGUAGUCAAGCGAUGGAGAGACGCAGGAAGGUAGCCUCCGCGUGGCGAUGGUAGUCCACGUCCAAGGGUGUAGGGAGUGAGAUAGGCAAAUCCGUCUCACACAUAUCCUGAGACCUGAUAGUGACCGCGAAUGCGGGAAGCAGGGUGAUCCUAUGCUGCCAAGAAAAUCUUCUAGCGAGGUUCGAGCCGCCCGUACCCCAAACCGACUCAGGUGGUUAGGUAGAGAAUACCAAGGCGAUCGAGUGAAUCAUGGUUAAGGAACUCGGCAAAAUACCCCCGUAACUUCGGGAGAAGGGGGGCCCGGAUCCUGAAGUGACUAGCUCACUAGGGAGAACGGCCGCAGAGACCAGGGAGAAGCGACUGUUUACUAAAAACACAGGUCCGUGCUAAGUCGCAAGACGAUGUAUACGGACUGACGCCUGCCCGGUGCUGGAAGGUUAAGAGGACGGGUUAGAUCUUAGGGUCGAAGCUCAGAAUUUAAGCCCCAGUAAACGGCGGUGGUAACUAUAACCAUCCUAAGGUAGCGAAAUUCCUUGUCGGGUAAGUUCCGACCUGCACGAAUGGCGUAACGACUUCUCCACUGUCUCAACCAUGAACUCGGCGAAAUUGCACUACGAGUAAAGAUGCUCGUUACGCGCAGCAGGACGGAAAGACCCCGGGACCUUUACUAUAGCUUGGUAUUGGUGUUCGGUACGGCUUGUGUAGGAUAGGUGGGAGACUGUGAAGCAUGCACGCCAGUGUGUGUGGAGUCAACGUUGAAAUACCACUCUGGUCGUUCUGGAUAUCUAACCUAGGUCCGUGAUCCGGAUCAGGGACAUUGCCUGGUGGGUAGUUUAACUGGGGCGGUUGCCUCCUAAAAGGUAACGGAGGCGCUCAAAGGUUCCCUCAGCCUGGUUGGUAAUCAGGUUUUGAGUGUAAGUGCACAAGGGAGCUUGACUGCGAGACAGGCAUGUCGAGCAGGGACGAAAGUCGGAACUAGUGACCCGGCGCUGGCUUGUGGAAGCGGCGUCGCUCAACGGAUAAAAGGUACCCCGGGGAUAACAGGCUGAUCUUGCCCAAGAGUCCAUAUCGACGGCAUGGUUUGGCACCUCGAUGUCGGCUCGUCGCAUCCUGGGGGUGGAGUCUCUCCCAAGGGUUGGGCUGUUCGCCCAUUAAAGCGGUACGCGAGCUGGGUUUAGAACGUCGUGAGACAGUUCGGUCCCUAUCCGCUGUGCGCGUAGGAAAUUUGAGAAGGGCUGUCCCUAGUACGAGAGGACCGGGAUGGACGAACCUCUGGUGUGUCAGUUGUUCUGCCAAGAGCACCGCUGAUUAGCUACGUUCGGAAGUGAUAACCGCUGAAAGCAUCUAAGCGGGAAGCACGCUUCAAGAUGAGAUUUCCAUGGGGUUUACCCCGAGAGGCUCCCAGCUAGACUACUGGGUUGAUAGGCCAGACGUGGAAGUGCAGCAAUGCAUGUAGCUGACUGGUACUAAUAAGCCGAUAACUUGAUACA